rnacentral:rRNA from 1 species
AACGAACGCUGGCGGCAGGCUUAACACAUGCAAGUCGAACGCGAAAUCACCUUCGGGUGGUGGAGAGUGGCAGACGGGUGAGUAACGCGUGGGAACCUACCUAGUGGUACGGAAUAACUCAGGGAAACUUGGGCUAAUACCGUAUGUGCCCGAAAGGGGAAAGAUUCAUCGCCACUAGAUGGGCCCGCGUCGGAUUAGCUUGUUGGUGAGGUAACGGCUCACCAAGGCGACGAUCCGUAGCUGGUCUGAGAGGAUGAUCAGCCACACUGGGACUGAGACACGGCCCAGACUCCUACGGGAGGCAGCAGUGGGGAAUAUUGGACAAUGGGCGCAAGCCUGAUCCAGCCAUGCCGCGUGAGUGAUGCAGGCCCUAGGGUUGUAAAGCUCUUUCGGCGGGGACGAUAAUGACGGUACCCGCAGAAGAAGCCCCGGCUAACUUCGUGCCAGCAGCCGCGGUAA